AUUGAACGCUGGCGGCAUGCCUUACACAUGCAAGUCGAACGGCAGCACGGGUGCUUGCACCUGGUGGCGAGUGGCGAACGGGUGAGUAAUACAUCGGAACGUACCUUAUCGUGGGGGAUAACGCAGCGAAAGUUGCGCUAAUACCGCAUACGCCCUGAGGGGGAAAGCGGGGGACCGUAAGGCCUCGCGCGAUUAGAGCGGCCGAUGUCUGAUUAGCUUGUUGGUGAGGUAAAAGCUCACCAAGGCGAUGAUCAGUAGCUGGUCUGAGAGGACGAUCAGCCACACUGGGACUGAGACGCGGCCCAGACUCCUACGGGAGGCAGCAGUGGGGAAUUUUGGACAAGGGGGGCAACCCUGAUCUAGCAAUGCCGCGUGAGUGAAGAAGGCCUUCGGGUUGUAAAGCUCUGUCAGAUGGAAAGAAUUAACUUGCUGAAAAUAUUGGCGAGUGAUGACGGUACCAUCAGAGGAAGCACCGGCUAACUCCGUGCCAGCCGCCGCGGUAA
rnacentral:rRNA from 1 species